rnacentral:rRNA from 1 species
AACGAACGCUGGCGGCAUGCCUAACACAUGCAAGUCGAACGAGACCUUCGGGUCUAGUGGCGCACGGGUGCGUAACGCGUGGGGACCUGCCCUUAGGUUCGGAAUAACUCCCCGAAAGGGGUGCUAAUACCGGAUAAUGUCUUCGGACCAAAGAUUUAUCGCCUUUGGAUGGGCCCGCGUUGGAUUAGCUAGUUGGUAGGGUAAAAGCCUACCAAGGCGACGAUCCAUAGCUGGUCUGAGGGGAUGAUCAGCCACACUGGGACUGAGACACGGCCCAGACUCCUACGGGAGGCAGCAGUGGGGAAUAUUGGACAAUGGGCGAAAGCCUGAUCCAGCAAUGCCGCGUGAGUGAUGAAGGCCUUAGGGUUGUAAAGCUCUUUUACCCGGGAUGAUAAUGACAGUACCGGGAGAAUAAGCUCCGGCUAACUCCGUG